UACGAAGGGUGCAAGCGUUACUCGGAAUUACUGGGCGUAAAGCGUGCGUAGGUGGUGAGUUAAGUCUGUCGUGAAAGCCCCGGGCUCAACCUGGGAAUGGCGAUGGAUACUGGCUCGCUAGAGUGCGGUAGAGGAGAGUGGAAUUCCCGGUGUAGCAGUGAAAUGCGUAGAGAUCGGGAGGAACAUCAGUUGCGAAGGCGGCUCUCUGGACCAGCACUGACACUGAGGCACGAAAGCGUGGGGAGCGAAUGGG
rnacentral:rRNA from 1 species